rnacentral:rRNA from 1 species
AACGCGAAGAACCUUACCUGGGCUUGAACCGCUACUGACCAACGGUAGAAAUAUCGUCUUCCCGCAAGGGACAGUAGUAGAGGUGCUGCAUGGCUGUCGUCAGCUCGUGCCGUGAGGUGUUGGGUUAAGUCCCGCAACGAGCGCAACCCUUAUUCGUAGUUGCCACCCGCAAGGGGGAACUCUACGAGGACUGCUCCGGAUAACGGAGAGGAAGGUGGGGAUGACGUCAAGUCAGCACGGCCUUUAUGUCCAGGGCUACACACGUGUUACAAUGCGCGGCACAGACUGUUGCGAACCCGCGAGGGGGAGCUAAUCGGAAAAAACCGCGCUCAGUUCGGAUUGCAGUCUGCAACUCGACUGCAUGAAGCUGGAAUCGCUAGUAAUGGCGUAUCAGAUCGACGCCGUGAAUACGUUCCCGGGCCUUGUACACACCGGCUAC